rnacentral:rRNA from 1 species
UCGAGAAUCAUUCGCAAUGGGCGCAAGCCUGACGAUGCGACGCCGUGUGUAUGAUGAAGGCCUUCGGGUUGUAAAGUACUUUCGCUUGGGAACAAGAGAGGUUGGCUAAUAUCCAGCUAAUUUGAGGGUACCAGGUAAAGAAGCACCGGCUAACUCCGUGCCAGCAGCUGCGGUAAUACGGAGGGUGCGAGCAUUAAUCGGAUUUAUUGGGCGUAAAGGGCGCGUAGGCGGGCUUAUAAGUCAGAUGUGAAAGCCCGGGGCUCAACCCCGGAACUGCAUUUGAAACUGCAAGUCUAGAGGGUAGGCGGAGAAAACAGAAUUCCACAAGUAGCGGUGAAAUGCGUAGAUAUGUGGAAGAAUACCGGUGGCGAAGGCGGUUUUCUAGCUUAUACCUGACGCUGAGGCGCGAAAGCAAGGGGAUCAAACAGGAUUAGAUACCCCCGUAGUCC